rnacentral:rRNA from 1 species
CAAGUGUCGGCUAACUACGUGCCAGCAGCCGCGGUAAGACGUANGACACAAGCGUUAUCCGGAUUUACUGGGCGUAAAGCGUCUGCAGGCGGACAGGUAAGUUGGGCGUGAAAGCUCCGGGCCCAACCCGGAGAGGUCGUUCAAUACUGCGUGUCUAGAGGGUGUCAGAGGGGAGUGGAAUUUCCGGAGUAGCGGUAAAAUGCGCAGAGAUCGGAAAGAACACCAAUGGCGAAGGCAGCUCCCUGGGGCAACCCUGACGCUAAGAGACGAAAGCUAGGGGAGCGAACAGGAUUAGAGACCCUGGUAGUCCUAGCCCUAAACGAUGGAUGCUGGAUGUGGGGCCAUAGCGCUCCGUGUCGAAGCGAACGCGUUAAGCAUCCCGCCUGGGGACUACGGCCGCAAGGUUAAAACUCAAACGAAUUGACGGGACCCCGCACAAGCAGCGGAGCGUGUGGUUUAAUUCGAUGCUACACGAAGAACCUUACCUGGGUUUGACAUCUAGGUGGUAGUGAAGCGAAAGCGGAGCGACCCUUCGGGGAGCCUAGACAGGUGCUGCAUGGCUGUCGUCAGCUCGUGCCGUGAGGUGUCGGGUUAAGUCCCGUAACGAGCGCAACCCUUGCCCUCCGUUAUACGUGUCAGAGGGGACUGCCGGCGGUAAGCCGGAGGAAGGUGGGGAUGACGUCAAGUCAGCAUGGCCUUUAUAUCCAGGGCUACACACACGCUACAAUGGCCAGUACAAAGGGCAGCGAAGCCGCGAGGUGGAGCGAAUCCCAGCAAAGCUGGUCGUAGUUCGGAUUGCAGGCUGCAACCCGCCUGCAUGAAGCUGGAGUUG